CCGAAAUGUAAACACAGUUUUAAAUCCUUUUAGAAUCGCAUCAACGUCCCUUCAUGGUGUGACAGAAUAUUAUGGAGAUCGUUUCCAGAUUUAACUGUCAGGCAAAACUCGUACGGUACGUUUUUCAUUGUCAACAAACAGCGCAAUUACUAAAAAAGUUGCAGCAUGCAUGUAGAUAAAUAUAACAUUCUCUCAAUUCACAAUUAGCGAAACGCAUGCAUGGAGUAUAUGUGGGUGAUUUGUGUUCGUGCAUGAUGUGGCACGACAUUCAUGAUCAAUUAUCCAUGCGUACAAAUUCCUUUUCAGGUUGUACAAAUGAUAUUGUUUCUAGUGAUCACUCGCCCGUUUUUGCGUCGUUUGAUGUUCCAAUAGCAAGUCAAUUUGUGGCCACUCC
rnacentral:lncRNA from 1 species